rnacentral:tRNA from 2 species
GCCCCUGUGGCGGAAUAGGUAUACGCAGCAGGUUGAGGACCUGUGCCCGCGAGGGCGUGCUGGUUCGAGUCCAGUCGGGGGCA